rnacentral:ribozyme from 1 species
UACGAAAUGAAUUAAGCAACCACGAACGAGAAACACAAGACAAAAAAGAAAAAGACGCAGACAUCAUGACUUCCUCUGUGUUAUCACAAUUUUUAUGUGACGUUGCUUCCUCUCUCUCUCAUCCCACCCUUUCUUCUCUCGGUCUGUCUCUCUCAAAAAUUGAUGAAGAAAGCGAAGAGGAGAGUGAAGAAGAGAGUGAAAGUGAAGAAGAGAAAG